GAUGAAGAACGUAGCGAAAUGCGAUACUUGGUGUGAAUUGCAGAAUCCCGUGAACCAUCGAGUCUUUGAACGCAAGUUGCGCCCGAAGCCAUUAGGCCGAGGGCACGCCUGCCUGGGCGUCACACGUCGUUGCCCCCCCAUCUACUCCUUCGGGAUUGCGGGGGGCGGAUGAUGGCCUCCCGUGCGCCUCGCCGCGCGGUUGGCAUAAAUGCCAAGUCCUCGGCGACGCACGCCACGACAAUCGGUGGUUGCGAAACCUCGGUUGCCCGUCGUGUGCGGUCGUCGCGCAUCGAGGGCUCGAAAAAAUUGCUGGGUUCCGGCUCGGCUUUCAACGCGACCCCAGGUCAGGCGGGGUUACCCGCUGAAUUUAAGCAUAUCAAUAAGCGGAGG
rnacentral:misc_RNA from 1 species